rnacentral:rRNA from 1 species
AUGAACGCUGGCGGCGUGCCUAAUCCAUGCCAGUCGAGCGAACAGAUGAGGAGCUUGCUCCUCUGACGUUAGCGGCGGACGGGUGAGUAACCCGUGGAUAACCUACCUAUAAGACUGGGAUAACUUCGGGAAACCGGAGCUAAUACCGGAUAAUAUAUUGAACCGCCUGGUUCAAUAGUGAAAGACGGUUUUGCUGUCACUUAUAGAUGGAUCCGCGCCGCAUUAGCUAGUUGGUAAGGUAACGGCUUACCAAGGCAACGAUGCGUAGCCGACCUGAGAGGGUGAUCGGCCACACUGGAACUGAGACACGGUCCAGACUCCUACGGGAGGCAGCAGUAGGGAAUCUUCCGCAAUGGGCGAAAGCCUGACGGAGCAACGCCGCGUGAGUGAUGAAGGUCUUCGGAUCGUAAAACUCUGUUAUUAGGGAAGAACAAAUGUGUAAGUAACUAUGCACGUCUUGACGGUACCUAAUCAGAAAGCCACGGCUAACUACGUG